rnacentral:rRNA from 1 species
GACGAACGCCGGCGGCGUGCCUAACACAUGCAAGUCGAGCGAAUGAAGUUCCUUCGGGAACGGAUUUAGCGGCGGACGGGUGAGUAACACGUGGGCAACCUGCCUCAUAGAGGGGAAUAGCCUUCCGAAAGGGAGAUUAAUACCGCAUAAGAUUGUAGUGCCGCAUGGUACAGCAAUUAAAGGAGUAAUCCGCUAUGAGAUGGGCCCGCGGCGCAUUAGCUAGUUGGUGAGGUAACGGCUCACCAAGGCGACGAUGCGUAGCCGACCUGAGAGGGUGAUCGGCCACAUUGGGACUGAGACCCGGCCCAGACUCCUACGGGAGGCAGCAGUGGGGAAUAUUGCACAAUGGGGGAAACCCUGAUGCAGCAACGCCGCGUGAGUGAUGACGGCCUUCGGGUUGUAAAGCUCUGUCUUCAGGGACGAUAAUGACGGUACCUGAGGAGGAAGCCACGGCUAACUACGUGCCAGCCGCCGCCGUAA